GACGAACGCUGGCGGCGUGCUUAACACAUGCAAGUCGAACGCGAAAACCCUUCGGGAUGAGUAGAGUGGCGAACGGGUGAGUAACACGUGGGCAACCUGCCCCAAGGAGCGGGACAACCCGGGGAAACUCGGGCUAAUACCGCCUGAUUCGCCGGCACUCAAGUGCCGGCGGCAAAUGGUAGCUUCGGCCUCCGCCUUGGGAUGCGCCCGCGGCGCAUUAGCUUGUUGGUGAGGUAACGGCUCACCAAGGCGACGAUGCGUAGCUGGUCUGAGAGGACGAUCAGCCACACUGGGACUGAGACACGGCCCAGACUCCUACGGGAGGCAGCAGUGGGGAAUCUUGCGCAAUGGGCGGAAGCCUGACGCAGCAACGCCGCGUGUGGGAAGACGGCCCUCGGGUUGUAAACCACUUUCAGGGGGGACGAAGCUUCCAGGGUUAAUAGCCCAUGGGGUGACGGUACCCCCAGAAGAAGCCCCGGCUAACUACGUGCCAGCCGCCGCCGUAAAAC
rnacentral:rRNA from 1 species